AGAGUUUGAUUAUGGCUCAGAGUUAACGCUGGCAUCGUGCAUAACACAUGCAAGUCGAACGGGACUAGUUUGUAGCAAUACAGAGCUGAGUUUAGUGGCAGACGGGUGAGUAAUGUAUAAGGAAUCUACCUCUGAGUGGGGAAUAACAGUCCGAAAGGAUUGCUAAUACCCCAUAACAUAAUCAGAUGGCAUCAUUUGAUUAUCAAAGAUUUAUCGCUUGGAGAUGAUCUUAUAUUCUAUCAGCUAGUUGGCAGUGUAACGGACUACCAAGGCUACGACGGAUAGCCGGCCUGAAGGGCGACCGGCCACAAGGGCACUGAGACACGGGCCCUACUCCUACGGGAGGCAGCAGUGGGGAAUUUUGGACAAUGGGCGCAAGCCUUGAUCCAGCAACGAUGCGUGGAGGAUGAAGGUUUUCGGAUUGUAAACUCCUUUUGUGAGGGAAGAAACAAAUGACGGUACCUCACGAAUAAGCCACGGCUAACUACGUGCCAGCCGCGGC
rnacentral:rRNA from 1 species